CUUGAGGGAACUCUAUAUAUACCAAUAGAUUUGAUAGGAAGAAGAAAAAAAAAAGGAAACCUAGAGAUAAAAAUAGCUAAGCGGCGCAGCAGAAACUCCAGAAAACAAAAAAUAGUUGCACCUCUUUCUUUUUCCCCUUCAACUCAUCAUCAUCUUCAACCCACAAAAUAUCCAUGAAAACCACCAUCUUUCCUCCAUAAAACCCACUUGAAAAUAGCCUUUUAAACCUAGCAAAAACCACUCAAAAACAAGCGCAAAUCCAUCGUCAAACUCUAAGAAAAACUGUCCAAAACCCAGCAUUAAACUACAACCAAAUCAGCACCGAAAAUGCCCCAAAAUCCAUCUCCAAAGUGACUCAAAAUGUCACCCGAACCACCCCCAAAACUCAGCAAAAUCAGCCCCAAAAAUCAUCCGCAAAGCAGCUCCAAAGAGCAGCCAAAUCAGCUGAGAAAUUACUGGUAAAAAAACCUGUCCAAAACCCCCCAGAAAAGCUGUCCAAAAUUAGUGCCAAAAAUAUGACGAAAAACCGUCUGAAGCCAGCCACAAGCCUCCAUCAAAAUUACCACUUUAUACUCGAAAUAGUUGUCCAAAUCUAUUCGAGUCGGUAUCAUUUUCGUGUAGAUCUUGGUUUGAGUUCGCCAUUGAAGUUACGGUCGAUUGGUUCUAUAGCAUUUGAAGGUCCCUGUUUUGCUCUUGCUUCGGUCAAAUUGUAGUUGUUGUUUCCUUGUAUUUUGACAUUGGCAGCGGUGCUUCAAUGUAAAGGAAGUUUCCAGUAAUAAAGUCCAAUAUUUAAACUUAUGUUAUCUCAAUUUUGUCCUGCUAGCAUAAUGAAUGAUUCUGGUUAUUUGUUGCUAUUCCAUGUUAUCUUGUCUUUCGUAGUAGUCUUAAUUAGCUGGUCUUUUGUCUUAAGCUAUGACUUGAUUUGUGAGAUUCAUGCUCAGCUCAUUAUUUACAACUUAAUAUCUGUUAUAUGUUGAUUUGCUAUCUCCCCUUGGUAUAGUUAAUACAUUAGCAUCAUGGUUCAUUAAAGAAGCUACUGUUUGAAUUCAUGGGAAGUGUAGGACAGUUAAUCGUGUUGGGUUUUUGUAAUUCACGGGUUUAUGGUAAUUGAUUUAAUUUUGGGCUUUACUUUAUCCUUACCCUUUAAUAUUCGGGUCAUUAGCACUUGGUUUGAGAUAAGCGAUUUGGCCUAUUUUACAUAACUGAUAAUUGCUAGAUUAGUCUAAAUAGCUUAAUAAACUUCAUGUAUUCCAAACACCUCCAAUUUCAUAAGUCAUGGCCUUACAACAACCUUAAAACUAGUUUAGGAAAAUAAUCACACAACUGCAGUUUGCUUUAGGCGCGGUUAAUAAAUCAUUGUGGCCAUGUGUACGGUUCCCGUAGCAUGGUCACGAUACAUAUUUUCCAAUUCAGGUGUGCAUUUUAUAUGACCCGACCACAACUUAAAACAAUAUAAAAAUAAAUAUGUUGUAAAUCGCGGGUGCAUUUCAUGUGGCGCAGUUUGCACUAUGUACCAAAGACAAGUGUACGACAUCGUGACUUGUUCCAAAAAUAAUUCCAUAAAUAAAUAAAAGCAGUUAUAGAGUUAAAAAUACACACACAUUUAAAAUAUGUAAUAAAUCAGAUAAUUAGGCCAAUUAUCAAUAGUUGAGCGACCGUGCUAAAACUACGGAAUCCGGGAGUGCCUCACACCUUCUCCCGGUUUAACAGAAUUCCUUACCGAUCCUCUGUGUUCGCGGACCAAAACUAGAGUCAAUUUCCUCGAUUUGGGAUUUAAAAUAAAUCGGUGACUUGGGACACCAUAAACUAUUCCAAGUGGCGACUCUAAAAAAUUAAAUAAAUAAUCUCAUUUCGAUUAAUGUCACUUUAAUUGGAAAAACUUUCCUAUACCCGUCAGAAAAAAGGAGGUGUGACAGCUCUGGCGACUCUGCUGGGGAAACAAACCUAGAACUUAUGGUUUAGAGUUCAGAAUUCGAGCUUAGAAUAACUGUUAUAGUUGGCUUUUAUUUAUUAUCUAAUUUUUUUUACGUGUUUUAGCUUGAUGUGCUAAAUGCCACUUUUUACCGCUUUGAUAUUAUAUGAACUGUAUAUAAACUAUUACAAAAUCCUUCUUCUCUCUGAGUCUUCUAAAUCUUCUGGGAAGUGCACACUGGCGUGACUUCUUUUCUGUUAGAGUCAUACCCUAAUUUAGAACGAGGAUCAGAUCAGUUACAAAGCCGGAUGGCCUUUUGGUUAUCGGUACGUUGCCCCUUUCCCCCCCCCCCCCCUCCCCGGCUCGAGUUGUCUACUCGGGUAAGCCAGGAGAAUAAUACACCCAGGUUUUAAACCUAGAAUAACAUAGCCUCAUGCCGGAUUCCUAGUAGGAACGCUUGCAUUUGACUUUGGGGACUCAACACAGGGUUUGGUUCCGUCUAGGACAGGUGUAACCGAAAUAAAAAGACCAUCCUGAUGCAUCUUACGUGCUACUUGCGCAUCUGUUUGUUUUGGCUUACGUGCUGACUGGCUUUUAGAAUGGGAAAAGAAAAAUAAAAAAAUAGAGAAAAUAAUAAAUAAAAACAAGAGUGAGAGGUAGGUAUUAAAAAAAUCAAAACUCUGCCGAAAUUUUGAAGAAAAUAAAAGAGAAAGAAAAUAAGAUAAUGUUUUCAAAAGAUCAUGUUUCCCUUGUUCCGUCAAAACAGACUGAACUACGCGGGUCUAAUUCUCAUCGGAUGUGAGAUACGUAGGCAAACUUUAUCGGUUCCAGCCCCAAUUUCUAAAAAUUCAAAAAUAUUUUCCUUUAAUUCCUUCAUUAGAAGCAUUUCCUUAGAAAAUUCAAAAGAAAAAGAUUUUUAAACUCAAAAAAAAUAGUUUUCUUCUUUCUGAAGUCUUUCAUACGGAAAAAAAAAAACAACAAAAUCCAAAAUACAGAUUUCCUUUAUUUUAAAGUAUUUUUCCCAAAAAUUCAAAAAAAAAUCAAAAAAAAAGAAUCCAAAAAAUAUUCUUAUCCUUCUUUAAAAAUCUUUCUUUCGUAAAUAUCAUAAAAUAAUUGAAACGUUGAAGUCCAAAAAUAUUUUUGUUUUUCUUUAGAAGUACUUUUGUAAUAAAAAAAAACUCAGAAAUCCAAAAUAUUUUCUUAGCCCCUCUUUCGAAAAUUAAGAGGCAACAUCCAAAAUUCAAAAACAUUUUCUUUCUUCUUUAGAAAAAGAGAAAACAAAUGAAAAUUCAAAAAAUAAUCUUUUUACUUUUGAAAUUCCCAAAGUUCAAAUCAAAGAAAAGGAAUUUUUAGAAGUCUUUCUUUCAAAAAAAAAAUCAAAAUUAAAAAUCCAAAAAAUAUUUCUUUUUUUAUUUUAAAGCAUUUUUUUUAAAACUCCAAAAUAAAUACAAAAAAAAUCAAAAAAAUAUAUAUGUUUUUCUUUUUCUUAAAGCUUUCAUGGUCCGAGUUUUAUAAAAAGUAAACAAAAAAAGUGAGUUAGUUUAAUUACUCUAUUCUCGAUCUUCCUGAACUAUGCAAGAUCUUAUUCAUGCUGCAUCAUGAUACUUAGGCAAUCCCCAUCGGAUUCGAUCAUAGCUAUAAAAUAAAUUGAGUGAAAAAUAAACUAAAAAAAUUGAGUGAAGAAGAAAGAAAUGAGUGAAAAAAAAGGAAUGACAAAACAAAAAGAGAACAAGAGAGUGCCAAAUAUAAAAGAGCGACAGAAACAAAAGGAAAAAAAUCAAAAGUGAUUAAAGAGAGGUAGAAAUAAAAGAAAAGAGGUACAUACUGAAAGGAUUAGUUGAGGCCGGGAUGAAACAUGCAACCGUUAGUUAAGGCCCGGAUGAAACAUGCAACCGUUCAAACACAUGGUAGAAGCAUUUAACUGUUAGGUGCAUUGCAUCCCAACUUGCGAUUUCCUAUAUGCUAAAUGUUUCAAAACUAACAAGGUUGUUGGGUGUGCAAAUUAGCCAGGUUCUGUUCAGGUGGUUAGUUUUGUUGAUAAUCUGGCUUUCCAUCCUUACUUCACAAGAUCCAAAGGCAUGGUUCCUAUGGCCUCGGUCCCACCAUACUAUUAUCCCUUUCAAGAUGUUGCUUAUGUUGUGGCACUGCCUCCCUACGCGGUGAUGAGCAUGCAACCUUACAUGCGGCCACAACAUUAUACACAAAAACAAGAUCCACCUCCCAGAAAUGCCCAUCCUUGCCAAGCUUCAAAUAAUCCCAACCAAAUGUCCCCCAGUACAACCCCCCUCCCCCCAAGAGAGCCUUUCAGAAAGAAUCAGUUCACCCCUAUUGGUGAAUCAUAUUCGGGCUUGUUCCAAAAGCUAGUCAGGCGAGGUCUGCUGUAGCCAGUGGCCCCAAACCAGCCAAACCCCGAGUCUCCCUCACACCAAGCGAUGCCAUAUGUGAAUACCACUCCGCAAUGGGACACAGUACAGAGGGCUGUUGGACCCUCAAAAGGGCAAUUGAAGACUUAAUCGAAGCUGAAAUAAUCGUUCUUCGGGACGAAAAAGGCUCCUAAUGGACAAAUAAUCCAUUGCUUGCUCACAACACCAGGCCAAUAGUCGGAAUGAUUCGUGAAAAGAGGAAUUUGAUCCAGCACUAAAGGCCAUUGCAGCCAUUGUCGAGACAGAAGAAAAUCCAAAAAGCGAUCGACAAGCUUGAAAGUUCCCCAUCAGAUGGGAGUCUCGAUAGCCAGUCUUGCUAUAUUUUCUGCGUUCGGAUUAUCUCAGGGUGUGAUCCGGAUGUUUCACUUUCCGAUGUAAACCCUUAUAUCUUUAAAAUUCAAAAAAAAUCAAAUAAAAAAGAAAUCAUUUCAUUACCUAGGAAUGUCUCUUUUCUUAUUGUAACUUUUCUUAUUCUCUUUUUAAUUCUGUUAAAUGCAGAUUUCAAUAACAUGACAUGCUUGCGGACUUCAUGCCCAGAUCCUAAAACGCUGUCAGACCUCGAAAUAAUGAAUCAAAAAAUAGAUUGUAAUGAAGAUAAGUUUUAGGAAAUAAAACAAAGAGUUGGAACAACUAAAGAAAAAUUGGCUCCAGAUUGUAAAGAUCCAUACAUGGUAACAAGGGUACUUCCAAAAAGAGCGUUGUACCUGGGAAACAUCCAAAGAAAUGUCCCUAAAACAACUACCAAUGUAGGUUCAGUCAAAAGGUACUAUGUUUGAUCCUCUAUAUAGUAUUAACGCUCCGAUUGGGAUGAAGAAGGCUUUUAUUUUCGCUAACUAAAUACCAUUAACCCUUUUUUAAUCUCUUUGAGCCGGUUCCCUUUCUUUGAUUACCCUCUUUGGAAUCUGAAAGUGUUAUUGAAAAAAAAUGAAAGAAUGAAAUGAAAAAUGAAAAACAAAAUGAAAAAAGAGAAGAAAAAGAAAGAUACAAAAAAGGGAAGAAAAGGCAAAAAGAAAAUGAAAUGAAAAAUGAAAAAAAAAAGAGGAAAAAGGAAAGGAAAAAGAAAGAGAAAACAAAAGAAAAUAGAAAAACAAAAGAAAAAAAACAAAGUUCCUUGAACUUGUUCAACUUGAUUCCAAAAGGAUACGUAGGCAGACUCUCUCUGGGGUUCAGUCACACCAAAAUAAAAAUCCAAAUUCCUCUAAUUUGAAACUGGGGCAGAAGUUAUAAUGGUUUGACGAUGGUUUCGCCCGAAAGGUUCCAAAGUCAUAACUCUAUCCAAAUCCUUUUUACCCAAACCUUAUUCAAGUCCUUCUGAUCAAUCGGCAAAGAUGUUCAAAAUGGGAGGAUACAGUUACUUGGAUCUGACACAACAAAAUGAGAGAAUUAAAAUGAAAGUCUUAUCGGUGAAAACUCUCACGGGCAACAUAAGGUGAUGGUAAGCAGAGAAAUGGAAAAUAAGAGAGUCUUGUUAGUGAAAACUCGCAAAGAGCACUAUAAUACGAUGGUGAGAAGAGAAAUAAGAGUGGUCAGAUAGUGAAAACCCGCAAAGGGCACCACUGAUCAAAAAAGAGGAUAUUCGGUCACUGACAUUGACACAGUCCUGGGCAUGGUUUCUCGAUUUCGAGGCAAAAGUUGUGAUGAAUUUCUGAGAGUCAGACGGUUUGCACGGAUCAGGCAUCCAGUCCAAAAGGCGUGUCAUAUUCGUUGAAGUCCGCAUGUACUCUAGAUAAGUCCUUCUUUCCUUUCCUCAAAAGGGACGUCUUGUAUAAAUUCAUUUGUCCAUUCCAUUGUUUAUUUUUCCUUUGAAUCCCUUUCGGUCUAACUCUAUUUUGAAACUGAGACAAAGAAGGUUUACAGGGUUCUCAUUUGAUACAAGCUAAUAUGCAAAAAAGACACCCAGCCUCGUCAGGGGCAUCAAGUCGACCUCGACCGGCCAUGACGGCCAAUGCUUCGAAAUCAAAUCGAAGUGCCUAUAAAGGUAAAUGAAGUUGAAAAGGUUAAGUUCCACGUGGCUAAUAGUCUCGGCAAAAAUUUGAAAAAGCCAAGGGAUCCCAAAUGCUCUGAAACUAAAGUUGGAAUAAAGAAGCCAAAAAUGAAAGGCCUAUGAAGGCGAAAUAAAGUUGGAAAAGAUUAAGUCCUACGCGACUAGCCGUCGCGACAAAGUUUGAGGAGCCAAAAGUUCCUCAAUGCUCCGAAGUUUUAAAAAAACAACAAGUCAGAAGGGAAGGGCCUAUAGAAGCAAAAUAAAGUCAAAAAGGUUGAGUCCCAUCGACCAAUCGUCAUGCAAAUUGUGGAAAAGCUAGAGUUUCUACAGGGUCAGAAAUGCAAUCGGUAUUCAGGAAACAAUCAAGCCGAGAUCAAGUGGUUAAAAUAAUCAAGGCCACAAAACCAACCACCGUUUUAAACUGACAAAUUGUUUUUUGUUUGAAAAAUAAGAAACAGGUGCAAUGCACAAGCAAACUUGCAAGAAGCAGGUGCUACCAAAAAGAAACUGCGCAAGAGCUAAAAAACAGCUUUGCAGCAACAACUCCAAAAAGGGAAGUCUCCUCCAAAAUUCUUUCCGGCAUUUACUCAUUCUAUGAAAUAAAAAAAAUAAGAAAAAAAACGAUGAUGAAAAUAAAUAAAGAAAAAAAAAGAAGAAGAGAAACUCAAAAUCAUAGUAGUAUAGGGUCUCCAAUUCCUAGCUGUGUCUUUUCCAAAAUAGGGUCCCACUUCCUAGUUGAUGCGGGCAUAACCCGAUGACUUUUCCAACAUAGAGUCUCACUCCCUAGUUGAUGCCGGCAUAACCCCAUGACUUUUUCAACAUAGGGUCCCACUCCCUAGUUGAUGUCGGCAUAACCCCAUGACUUUUCCAACAUAGGGUCUCACUCCCUAGUUGAUGUCGGCAUAACCCGAUGCCAGCAAAACCUAAUGCCAACAUAGGGUAACCACUCCCUAGUUGAUGCCAGCAUAACCUGAUGCCCACAUAGGGUCACCAUUCCCUAGUUGAUGCCGACAUAGGGUCUCCACUCCCUAGUUGAUGUCAGCAUAACCUGAUGCCAACAUAGGGUCACCACUCCCUAGUUGAUGAUUUUCCAACAAUAGAGUUUCCAAUCCCUAGUUGAUUUUAUUUUAGAUAUAUGGGUCUCCACUCCUUAAUAUCUUUUUCCCAAGGAUACACAAUCUCGACAUUUUAUUUGCUUUUAAUAAUGAAGUAGUAUAGAGUUUUGCUACCAAUAACUCACGAAAGUUUCCUAGUGAAAACUGGGGCAGAAAUAUUUUGUUCGUUUGUUUGUUUGGGUGCCUGAGCAGGUUUUACCUCGAGGCACGGGUUCGAGACGACUAAAAGAAGAAGUCUCAAUCCAAAAUAAAAGAAAAAGAAGAAAAGAAAUGAAGUGAACACAAUUCAGAAGCGGAGAAAAGAUGUGGACUGCUCAAGAAAUGAUUAAUAUCACAAGCUUUGCAUGUCACGCCUUGAUCCGAGAAGCUGAAAAGAAUGAACCAGCACCUAUAGCUAACAAGCAUCAAGAUUCGGAUCAGAGUCUACGUGAAGAACGAGCUAAGACUCAAGAUCAAGCUUCAAAAGACUCAUAGAUAGGAAUCCUGUAACUUGUAGCUGAUAGGCUUAGUUAGUUUUUUUCAUUUUGACUUUGAUGUAAUAGCAGGACCACGGACCGGAUCCUCGACGGGACCUCACUCGACACUCGAACUUGGCAUUCCAUCAUUCUCCUUGAACUACACGCGACCUGAUUCUCAUAUGACCCAGGAUAUGUAGGUUGUCCAAAACAAGGACUCGGUUGCACUCUUUUCUUUUAGUUUCUUCCCUUUUAAUAAUAAAAAAUAAAUAAUGGUUUGGUCAAAAAUUAGUCAUAUCGCUCAUCUUUUCUUUGCCUGAAAACUCUUCAUGUUUCCAAGCAACGAGGGGCAUGCUGUAAGCACCUAAUUUUUGACCAUAUUUUAAUUUUUCACCACUUUUUCGUAUGUAAAUAUUUUUUAAGUUUAACCUACGCAUUUUAGCUCUUGUUUUACCUUUUUAUAGGUUUUACUUAGAAAUUGAAAAUGAUGAAAAAGAGUCACAUUUUUUUGAUAAAUUUUGUUUUCAUUUACAAAAGAAAAAGAACAAAUUAAAAUUUUGUUAAGACUACUAAUAUGAAAUUUUCUUUAGUAGAUUUCUGUAUUUUUCUAGUCUAAACGUAUUAAUGUAGUAUUUUGAUUUUAGAUUAUCUUGAAAAGAAAGAAUUAAUAAAAAAUGAUGAUACAAUUAGGUUCUGCCACUUAAAAUAACUAGCAAGAUUCUAUUAGACCAUGAUCAUAUUUUGUCUUGAUUCUCGUGGACACACUCACAUUUUUCUUUUAUAUAUUUUUCCUCCUCACAUGUUACACUACACUUUUCAUUUCUUAAUUUACUAAGCUCACGUACUAACAGUUAAUUCAAUUGGAGUCACUCACCUCACGCGCACUCAUGCUACAAUGCUAGGAGUCCAUAUUUUGUUCUUAUCUUUUUUGGUAUCUAACAAAUUGUGAGCGCCACAGGAUCUUCCACCCACUUUCUCCACACAUAUCCAUUGCACAUAAUAUUCCCUCCAGCUCAUAUAACUCUGGCCCCAAAAAAAAUCUUGAGGGCACUCUAUAUAUAUCAACAGAUUUGAUAGAAAGAAGAAGAAAAAAAAAGGAAACCUAGAGAUAAAAAUAGCUAAGCGGCGCAGCAGAAACUCCAGAAAACAAAAAAUAGUUGCACCUCUUUCUUUUUUCCCUUCAACCCAUCAUCAUCUUCAACCCACAAAAUAUCCAUGAAAACCACCAUCUUUCCUCCAUAAAACCCACUUAAAAACAGCCUUUUAAACCUAACAAAAUCCACUCAAAUCCAUCGUCAAACUCCAAGAAAAACUGUCCAAAAAUAAAAUUAAACUACAACCAAAUCAAACCCGAAAACGCCCCAAAAUCUAGCUCCAAAGUGACCCAAAACGUCACCCAAACCACCCCCGAAACCACCUCAAAACAGGCCCCCAAAACUCAGUAAAAUUAGCCCCAAAAAUCAUCCACAAAACAGCUCCAAAGAGCAGCCAAAUCAGCUGCGAAAUUGCUGAAAAAAACCAGUCCAAAACCCCCAGAAAAGUUGUCCCAAAAUCAGUGCCAAAAAUCUGACAAAACACCAUCCGAAACCAGCCACAAGCCUCCAUCGAAAUGACCCCUUUAUACUCGAAAUAGUUGUCCAAAUCUAGUCGAGUCAGUAUCAUUUUCGUGUAGAUCUUGUUUUGAGAUCGCCAUCGAAGUUAUGGUCGAUUGAUUCUAUAACAUUUGAAGGUCCUUGUUUUGCUCUUGCUUCGGUCAAAUUGUAGUUGUUGUUUCCUUGUAUUUUGACAUUGGCAGCGGUGCUUCAAUGUAAAGGAAGUUUCCAGCAAUAAGGUCCAAUAUUUAAACUUAUGUUAUCUCAAUUUGGUCUUGCUAGCAUAGUCAAUGAUUCUGGUUAUUUGUUGCUAUUCCAUAUUAUCUUGUCUUUCGUAGUAGUCUUAAUUACCUAGACUUUUGUCUUAAGCUAUGACUUGAUUUGUGAGAUUCAUGCUCAGCUCAUUAUUUACAACUUAAUAUCUGUUGUAUGUUGAUUUGCUAUUUCCCCUCGGUAUAGUUAAUGCAUUGGCGUCAUGGUUGAUUAAAGAAACUAUUAUUUGAAUUCAUGGGAAGUGUAGGAUAGUUAAUCGUGUUGGGUUUUUGUAAAUUUUCGGGUUUAUGGUAAUUGAUGUAAUUUUGGGCUUUACUUUAUCCUUACCCUUUAGUAUUCGGGUCAUUAGCACUUGGUUUGAGAUAAGUGAUUUGGCCUAUUUUACAUAAACAGAUAAUUGCUCGAUUACUCUAAAUAGCUUAAAAACUUCAUGUAUUCCAAACACCUCUAUUUCCAUAAGUCAUGGCCUUACAACAAACUUAAAACUAGUGUAGGAAAAUAAUCACACAACCGUAGUUUGCUUUAGGCGUGAUUAAUAAAUCAUCCUGGUCAUGGGUACGGUUCCCGUGGCAUGGUCAUGAUAUAUAAUUUCCAAUUCGGGUGUGCAUUUUAUAUGACCCGACCACAACUAAAAACAAUAUAAAAAUAAACAUGUCGUAAAUCGCGGGUGCAUUUCAUGUUGCGUGCUUUGCAAUGUGUACCAAAACGACAAGUGUACGACAUCGUGACUUGUUUCAAAAAUAAUUCCAUAAAUAAAUAAAAGCAGUUAUAAAGUUUAAAAUACACAACAGGUUUAAAAUAUGUAAUAAAUUAGAUAAUUAGGCCAGUUAUUAAUAGUUGAGCGACCGUGCUAAAACUACGGAAUCCAGGAGUGCCUCACACCUUCUCCCAGGUUAAUAGAAUUCCUUACCCGGUCUUCUGUAAUCGCAGACCAAAAAUAAAGUUAAUUUCCUCGAUUUGGGAUUUAAAAUAAAUCGGUGACUUGGGACACCAUAAACUAUUCCAAGUGGCGGCUCUAAAAAAUCAAAUAAAUAAUCUCAUUUCGAUUAAUGUCACUUUAAUUGGAAAAACUCCCCGAUCUCCUUCGGGAAAAAGGUCUGUUACUUCUUCCGAUAAGGACCAUGCUGCUUAGGCUUUGUAAUUUUUGUAAUUUUUCGUUUUUGUUUUGAGGCCGAUUGGCCCUUAUAAAUAACUCUUAAUCGGGCCAUAUGGCCCUUGUAAAAAGAGUUUUGAGAUAUAUGUAAAAACUUUAUUUCCUUCCAUGGCUUCUGA
rnacentral:lncRNA from 1 species